CAAAAAAUAAAAUAAAAUAAAAAUGGGUUGGUUGGUUGAAAUAAUAAGGUUUAAAAUUGAAGAGUGUUAAUCUGGACUUGAGGUUUACAUAGGGAACAAUCAGCUGGAAAAUAACCGAAAUGCUGUUGGAGGCGUUCUGUAAAGUGGAUAUUUCACUCGUGGAAGGGGUGUUUGAAGUUACCUUGAAGUUACCAACCUGUUACGCUUAUUAAUAGUGGAAACAAUUUUUUUUUUGUAAUUUUUAUAAUAUGGCUAAUAAACAUGUUAAAAAUGGUUCUUAGUGGUCACCAUGUACUAGCUUGUUGUUCAUCAUACUAGUAGUAAUGGCUAAGUUUAGCAUAAAAUCUCCCCCCUGUUACCGUCACCCCUGUUAUUGCUAUGCACUGUAACAGGGGGGACACAUGGUAACAGGGGGGACGUAAGAUGAUAGAAGUUUAGUGUUUAGGGUUAUUUAUACAAGUGUGUAUUGGUAAUUAUUAUUAACCUGUAUAUAUAUACUUUUAGAAGAUUUUGAAUAGUAUACAUUUUUCAGGGAAUGGCACCAAUGUCUGCUGCGGAGAAGCAGCGGCGCUACCGAGCACGUCGUGAUGCUGACCCUGAGAGAAGACAGAUAUAUCUCAAUAAAGAGAAAGAGAAGUGGAGAAAGGACAGAGAGGAAGGGAAAAAAAAGAAAGUGGCAGAUCUCAGUGAACGACAGAAGAGAGCACAGAGAAAGCAGUGGCGAGAAAGGAAAAGAAAGCAGAGGGCUAGUGCCAAAGGCAGGACAGAAUUUGAGGCUAUGAAUACUCCUCCCCUAAGUCCAGAAUAUUCCCUAGAGCCAGAAAAUGCCCCGCAACCAGGACCCUCAAGGCAAUACAUAGUUGGACGAAGGAAUAUUAGACAGGGAAGAAGGAGACUCAAGAAUGAAAUUAAAGAGCUAAAGGCCUUGUUGGAAAAGGAAAAGA